rnacentral:rRNA from 1 species
CACCUUGCGCCCUUUGGUAUUCCGAAGGGCACGCCUGUUUGAGUGUCGUGAAAUUCUCAACCCUGCGCCUUUUCUUGUGAAAGCGCGUGGGCUUGGACUUGGAGGCUUUGCUGGUCCUCGCGGAUCGGCUCCUCUCAAAUGCAUUAGCAGAAACCGUUUGACUUUGGCUGCUAGGCUGUGAUAAUAUCUACGCCUUGGUAGUUGGGUCGGAAUACGAGUCAUACAGUGGUAACUAAUCAGGCCUUCGAGUCUGGCUUAGGAUCGGUUUGGAAGGUGCUUAACGGCUCCUUCUGCUUUCUCCCUUUGCGGAGAUACUUGUCCGAUUCUAAGAGAGGAGUUGCUUAGCGCGAGCUUAGCUUUCCUUGAUUUUUCCCCUUGACUUUGUAGAAGGAUUCAGCUUCUAACCGUCCAUUGGCUUGGACAAUUUAUUGACUAUUUGACCUCAAAUCAGGUAGGACUACCCGCUGAACUUAA